UACGGGGGGGCAAGCGUUGUUCGGAAUUACUGGGCGUAAAGGGCCAGUAGGCGGCCAACUAAGUCAGACGUGAAAUCCCUCGGCUUAACCGGGGAACUGCGUCUGAUACUGGAUGGCUUGAGUUCGGGAGAGGGAUGCGGAAUUCCAGGUGUAGCGGUGAAAUGCGUAGAUAUCUGGAGGAACACCGGUGGCGAAGGCGGCAUCCUGGACCGAUACUGACGCUGAGGAGCGAAAGCCAGGGGAGCAAACGGGG
rnacentral:rRNA from 1 species